GAUGUGUGAACAGAUUCUAACAUAUUUGAGGCUUUUAACUGAGAAUAAUUGCAAAUUCUUAAGAAAAUUUUGUCAUUUUUGAGUGUUUUAUCUUUGAUUUUAUAGUAUAAGCUAAAAUGAUAGAGAACCAACAAGGAUGGAAGUAAAAGAGUUGAAAUCUUAAGCAAAAAGAAGAAAAGUAUGGCUGACGAUAUUUCUGAUAAGUCAUCAUCCCUGUGAUAAGUUAUCAGCUUCAUCGUCAUUCUUAGAUAGAGAA
rnacentral:lncRNA from 1 species